CACGUAGGGGGCGAGCGUUGUUCGGAAUUACUGGGCGUAAAGGGCAUGUAGGCGGCCUGAUAAGCCUGGCGUGAAAGUCCACGGCUCAACCGUGGGAUUGCGUCGGGAACUGUCGGGCUUGAGUCACGGAGGGGAAGGUAGAAUUCCUGGUGUAGGGGUGAAAUCUGUAGAGAUCAGGAAGAAUACCAGUGGCGAAGGCGACCUUCUGGCCGAUGACUGACGCUGAGGUGCGAAAGUGUGGGGAU
rnacentral:rRNA from 1 species